CUACGGUGAAAUACGUUCCCGGACCUUGUACACACCGCCCGUCAAGCCAUGGAAGCCGGGUGUACCUAAAGUCGAUAACCGUAAGGAGUCGCCUAGGGUAAAACUAGUAACUGGGGCU
rnacentral:rRNA from 1 species